rnacentral:rRNA from 1 species
AUUGAACGCUGGCGGCAUGCCUUACACAUGCAAGUCGAACGGUAACAGGUCUUCGGAUGCUGACGAGUGGCGAACGGGUGAGUAAUACAUCGGAACGUGCCUAGUAGUGGGGGAUAACUACUCGAAAGAGUGGCUAAUACCGCAUGAGAUCUACGGAUGAAAGCAGGGGAUCGCAAGACCUUGUGCUACUAGAGCGGCCGAUGGCAGAUUAGGUAGUUGGUGGGAUAAAAGCUUACCAAGCCGACGAUCUGUAGCUGGUCUGAGAGGACGAUCAGCCAAACUGGGACUGAGACACGUCCCAGACUCCUACGGGAGGCAGCAGUGGGGAAUUUUGGACAAUGGGCGCAAGCCUGAUCCAGCAAUGCCGCGUGCAGGAUGAAGGCCUUCGGGUUGUAAACUGCUUUUGUACGGAACGAAAAGCCCUGGGUUAAUACCCUGGGGUCAUGACGGUACCGUAAGAAUAAGCACCGGCUAACUACGUGCCAGCCGCCGCAGUAAGAC